AUAAUGGGUCAGCGACUUAUAUUCUGUAGCAAGGUUAACCGAAUAGGGGAGCCGAAGGGAAACCGAGUCUUAACUGGGCGUUAAGUUGCAGGGUAUAGACCCGAAACCCGGUGAUCUAGCCAUGGGCAGGUUGAAGGUUGGGUAACACUAACUGGAGGACCGAACCGACUAAUGUUGAAAAAUUAGCGGAUGACUUGUGGCUGGGGGUGAAAGGCCAAUCAAACCGGGAGAUAGCUGGUUCUCCCCGAAAGCUAUUUAGGUAGCGCCUCGUGAAUUCAUCUCCGGGGGUAGAGCACUGUUUCGGCAAGGGGGUCAUCCCGACUUACCAACCCGAUGCAAACUGCGAAUACCGGAGAAUGUUAUCACGGGAGACACACGGCGGGUGCUAACGUCCGUCGUGAAGAGGGAAACAACCCAGACCGCCAGCUAAGGUCCCAAAGUCAUGGUUAAGUGGGAAACGAUGUGGGAAGGCCCAGACAGCCAGGAUGUUGGCUUAGAAGCAGCCAUCAUUUAAAGAAAGCGUAAUAGCUCACUGGUCGAGUCGGCCUGCGCGGAAGAUGUAACGGGGCUAAACCAUGCACCGAAGCUGCGGCAGCGACGCUGAUGCGUUGUUGGGUAGGGGAGCG
rnacentral:rRNA from 1 species